UUGGAGGGCAAGUCUGGUGCCAGCAGCCGCGGUAAUUCCAGCUCCAAUAGCGUAUAUUAAAGUUGUUGCAGUUAAAAAGCUCGUAGUUGAAUUUCGGGAACAAAUAAUCGGUCGUGCCUCCGGUACGUACUGGUUUUAUUGGUUCCUCCCUUCUGACGAACCAUGAUGUCAUUAAUUUGAUGUGGUGGAGAAUCAGGACUGUUACCUUGAAAAAAUUAGAGUGUUUAAAGCAGGCUAACGCUUGAAUACAUUAGCAUGGAAUAAUGAAAUAGGACGUUCGACCCUAUUUUGUUGGUUUCUAGGAUCGACGUAAUGAUUAAUAGGGAUAGUUGGGGGCAUUAGUAUUCAAUUGUCAGAGGUGAAAUUCUUGGAUUUAUUGAAGACUAACUACUGCGAAAGCAUUUGCCAAGAAUGUUUUCAUUAAUCAAGAACGAAAGUUAGGGGAUCGAAGACGAUCAGAUACCGUCGUAGUCUUAACCAUAAACUAUGCCGACUAGGGAUCGGAUGAUGUUAAUUUUUUAAUGACUCAUUCGGCGCCUUACGGGAAAC
rnacentral:rRNA from 1 species